rnacentral:snoRNA from 1 species
UGCAUCUCACAGACAUGAAACAGUUACUGUCUACUGCUAGUUUCCACUAGAGAUGCAAGGAAAAAAAAAGUGUCCUCACACUUUCUUUCUGAUUGUGGCAGCCAAGAUUGAAUGGGGAAAUAUAGGA